rnacentral:rRNA from 1 species
GACGAACGCUGGCGGCGUGGAUUAGGCAUGCAAGUCGAACGGUAUCAUCCUUUCGGGGGUGAGAGAGUGGCGAACUGGUGAGUAACACGUAGGUUAUCUACCCUCAAGACGGGGACAACCCAGGGAAACUUGGGCUAAUACCGGAUGUGAGCAACUUUUAGUUGUUUGAAAGGUGGCGUAAGCUGUCGCUUGGGGAUGAGCCUGCGUCCUAUUAGUUAGUUGGUGAGGUAACGGCUCACCUAGGCAAUGAUAGGUAGGCGGCCUUAACGGGUGGUCGCCCACACUGGGAUUGAGAUACGGUCCAGACUCCUACGGGAGGCAGCAGUCGAGAAUAGUCUACAAUGGUCGGAAGACUGAUAGUGCGACGCCGCGUGAACGAUGAAUCCCUUCGGGGUGUAAAGUUCUUUUAUAUGUGAGCAGUGCUUCUUAUAUUAACAGUAUGGGGAAGAGAUAUUAGCAUAUGAAUAAGCAACGGCUAACUCCGUGCCAGCAGCCGCGGUAAUCUCG